CCCUUAGACGUUCUGGGCCGCACGCGCGCUACACUGACCAGUGCAACAAGCAUCCGUCCUUGGCCGACAGGCCCGGGCAAUCUUUGAACGCUGGUCGUGAUGGGGAUAGACUUUUGCAAUUUUUCAUCUUCAACGAGGAAUGCCUAGUAAACGCAAGUCAUCAGCUUGCAUUGAUUACGUCCCUGCCCUUUGUACACACCGCCCGUCGCUCCUACCGAUUGAAUGAUCCGAUGAAUAUCAUGGAUUGAGGAUGCAAGUAGGUUCGCCUAUCUUCAUCUUCGAGAAGUGAAGUAAAUCUUAUCAUUUAGAGGAAGGAGAAGUCGUAACA
rnacentral:rRNA from 1 species